UGGGACUGGGAGAUGUGGUGUUCGGUUUCUAAGCACCCGUCGCUAUGGAAGCCAGGUGCUGCCAGCCCAAGGCCUAGCAACAAGGCAUGAUGUGGGGCGGAGGGCAUUGUCGGGGGCUUUGGAGGCAGCCAGCAAGAGAGAGCAGACUACAUCCACGCUCAGGCUGGAGGCUUGGACCUGCUGCUGUGCCGGGCUUGUAAGGGGAGGAAGGAGGCAGAGAGGUGAAGUCCACACAGAGCCCGGGAGACAAGACCCAAAGAUUAGAGCUGAGAAACAUGCGGAGCCUGACAAAGGGAAUCCAGAGGCUAAAAGGCCGAGGCACGGUCAGGAAGAUGGGUGUGGGGUGGUAGAAGCAGAUGAACCAGCCAGACACAGAGACAGAGGCCAGCAGUGAAGAGGCACCAGCUUUCUCAGAGACCCUACUCCUAGCUCUGGGCCUGAAUGCCAGAGAGUGGGGGAGCGUCUCUGAGGAGUGACAGAGAUGGAUGGACUCAUGACAGAAGGAGAUAAGCAGAGGCAGGAGGCAAUACGGCGACAGUAAUAAAGGGAGAGAGAACUGGGGACAGAGGGGAUGGGCAGGCCGAUGAGGACCAGACUGGGAGGCAGAGCAGACAGCAGUGGGGACAAGAUAGCAGAAAUAUGAGGACAAGGGCACUGAGGCCACCAGAGUCCUGAGCUGGCCCCAGUCCUGGGAUUUUCCCUCUCCAUCUGCCCGUAGGUCACGCAGACAUCCACAGCCUCUUACUGCUACUCCAUACCCAUCGCUCCCUAAACACAGACUCAUCCAGACACAAACCCUCAGUGAGGACCCUGAUCAGGGGCUCCUGUCUGUCCUGCCCCUGUCGGGACCCAGCAAAGCAGUGUCAGAAACAGCAGGUAGUCAGGCCGCCGGGCUUCCAGAAUGUAAAGUCACACUCCUCCGACCCUGCCUGUGUUCCCACUCCAGCUGCCCUUUCCAUACAAGGCGUGCUUGUCUCCCUACAGACUGAACAAGAUGACAUAGUCCAAAAUGAAACCGACCUCCUGCCCCAGAGGCUCCCUUCCUUCUUCCUCUACAGCAGAUUCUUUCAGGGCACUGGGGACACGCUGGGACCUGAGGACAAGACAGGCAGCUCAUAGAGACACAAACACAGCUGCCCAUCUCAGACUGUGGCCGGGGAUGGCGGAACAGCUUGGCCUCCAGGGAUCAAGGAAGCGGCAGGUGCCUGGCAGGCAGCAUCUCAUUUAAUUCUCCUUGUGCCUGGGGUAUAGGUACAAGAGACUGAUCCCCUAAAGGGAAGGCACUUGCCCUAACCUCCUCAGUAGCCAGCAGGCACUGAGCUGGGUCUUGAACCCAAGUCUCAUGGAGCCAAUGUGAGUGGAAGGAUCUGGGCGAAGUCAGAGCAGGUAGGGACAUCCAAGAAAGGAGUGGCCCAAGUCUGCUCAUGGCACCUCCCAGGAAAGAUGUGGAGUAGCCUGGGAAGAUCUCAAGCCCUGCUCGAGGCCACUACUCCUCCAUGGGGAGAGUCCCAUCUCCUCAUGGCAGGAUGUGACAAUAAUUAUCUAGACCCUAUCUGAUGCUAACCUUUACCAGAACCUGUGGUAAUUGUUUCUCUAAUUAGCACUGUGGAGGCACUGAUAGCCUGUUCCGGGAGCAUGGUGCACUCAGAGGUACCCCUGUGCCUCAUCAGCCUCCCUCUUUUCAGACUCCUGGAGGAGGACCAAGAUAAAGUUUAAUUAAGUGCCUACUAUGUGUCCUGUGGUGUGGAACAGUUGACAUUUAUUACUUUAUUAAGUUGCCCACAGAAGUCUCUGGAGGCCGCUGGCUGUGUUGGCCCCAUCUCCCUGCAGCUCCCACCUCCCGCCAGUUACCACAGUCAAGCAGACCUCAUGGCAUCCCCCCUACCCCUGUCCCCAAGAACUGCCCUUGAGGUAGGAUGAGCUGUGGAGCAGCAGGUUCCAAAGGUACCUGGGAACUGGGAGGUUAUUUCUCCCUUCUGUAAUGGGGGUGGGUGGGGAGCAGCUUCACCCCACACACUGUACACUGUAUCUGGGCCACAGUCCAGAAAAUCGACCCAUGGCGCCAUCCUCCCCUGGGUCCUAGUUCCUGGAAGGCGAUACUGAAGGGAUGAUCGAUCUGUCUCCCAGCCUCGUCUUCUGCUGCCUUGCAGGUGGCCUCUACUAUGAAGACCCGCCCCCCAGCCAGUCGGUGUCACAGUCAGGGACCAGGUGGACAGAUGCUGCAAGGGUCAGUGUGGUAGAUCAAGCUCACAUAUGAACACGUACAUGUAUGCACAUGUAUGCAAGUUGGUAGAGCAGGAGUUGUGAACACAAGAUGUGAGCUGUGCAGACCUUUCCCUGGAUGUCCUGCUACCACCAUCUACAGACCCAGCCUGACCUCAGGCUGCCACCAUCUACAGACCCAGCCUGACCUCAGGCUGCCA